rnacentral:rRNA from 1 species
AGAUUGAACGCUGGCGGCAUGCCUAACACGUGCAAGUCGAACGGGAGUAGCAAUACUCUAGUGGCGGACGGGUGAGGAAUACGUAGGAAUUUGCCCUUAAGUGGGGGAUAACCCGGGGAAACCCGGAUUAAUACCGCAUGACCUCGAAAGAGCAAAGUGGGGGGAUCGCAAGACCUCACGCUUUUUGGAGAAGCCUACGUCGGAUUAGCUAGUUGGUGAGGUAAUGGCUCACCAAGGCGACGAUCCGUAACUGGUCUGAGAGGAUGAUCAGUCACACCGGAACUGAGACACGGUCCGGACUCCUACGGGAGGCAGCAGUGGGGGAAUAGUUGGACAAUGGGCGCGAAGCCUGAUCCAGCAAUGCCGCGUGUGUGAAGAAGGUCCUUGGUUGUAAAGCUAACUUUAAGGUUGGGUAAAGAAAAACUCGACUACUAACACGAGUAG